rnacentral:rRNA from 1 species
UACAGAGGUCCCAAGCGUUGUUCGGAUUCAUUGGGCGUAAAGGGUGCGUAGGCGGCGCGGUAAGUCGGGUGUGAAAUCUCGGAGCUUAACUCCGAAACUGCAUUCGAUACUGCCGUGCUUGAGGACUGGAGAGGAGACUGGAAUUUACGGUGUAGCGGUGAAAUGCGUAGAUAUCGUAAGGAAGACCAGUGGCGAAGGCGGGUCACUGGCCCGGUACUGACGCUGAGGAGCGAAAGCGUGGGGAGCGAACAGG